GGCGGACGGGUGAGUAACAUGUGGGUAUCUACCCUUUGGCCUGGAAUAACACGAGGAAACUUGUGCUAAUACCGGAUAAGUCUUUACGGAGAAAGCUUUAUGCACCAUUGGAUGAGCCCGCACUUGAUUAGUUUGUUGGUAGGGUAAUGGCCUACCAAGACUAUGAUCAAUAGCUGAUUUGAGAGGAUGAUCAGCCACAUUGGGACUGAGACACGGCCCAAACUCCUACGGGAGGCAGCAGUGGGGAAUCUUGCACAAUGGAGGAAACUCUGAUGCAGCGAUGCCGCGUGAGUGAAGAAGGCCUUUGGGUUGUAAAGCUCUUUCGUCGGGGAAGAAAAUGACUGUACCCGAAUAAG
rnacentral:rRNA from 1 species